rnacentral:lncRNA from 1 species
CAGAAGACAUGUCGGAAAGGAGACUCUUUUGGAGAUACGUAGGGAGAGAGGAAGUGAUACUCCACCUACGAAAACAACACACAAGAUGCGCAGAUCACUACGAGAUGGAAUCCUGCUAGCUGUGCUGUCUUUCCAUCCGGGUCACGCCCGAGAGGCACACAGCCCAACUCCUUGCUGAGAUCUUCAUAUUCCGUGUCCUACUGACGGGCUGCCUGGGAGACAUGAGUGACAGAAAACCUGACACUGCUCUGGAUUCUGAAACACCUGCUGAGCUCUGUCCUAGGUCUCUAAUCCACAGCCUCCCGACUUCUCUCAAACAAGUUACCAAUUCUACAUACAAUUAUACCUCAGUUCACUUUAAAAUGUACUAUGGCUACAAUCACCCUUCCAACAGGAACACACAGGAACACAUCACAUUUCAAAAUACUUGACAUUCAGCAAAAUAAAAACGUAAUUGGAAUCA